rnacentral:rRNA from 1 species
CCAAAAACUUAGCUUAACCCCUCUUCUUAAUGUACACACAACCAUUUAACAAAUUAAUAAAACAUUUUACACAUUUAGUAAAGGCGAUAAAAAAAUGUCUAAGAGCUAUAAAACUAGUACCGCAAGGGAAUAGUGAAAUAUUAAUGAAAAACUCCAAGCACACAAAAGCAGAGCUUUAACCUCGUACCUUUUGCAUCAUGGUCUAACUAGUCUAAUCAAGCAAAACGAAUUUUAAGUUUGACCCCCCGAAACUAGGUGAGCUACUUAAAAACAGCCUUAUGGGCCAACCCGUCUCUGUUGCAAAAGAGUGGGAAGAUUUUUUAAGUAGAGGUGACAAACCUACCGAACCUAGAGAUAGCUGGUUAUUCAGGAAAAGGAUUUAAGUCCUACCUUAGGUUAUUCGUAUAUUAUAA